GGUACAAAAGUAAUUGUGGUUUUUGCCAUUGAAAGUAAUGGCAAAAACUGCAAUUACUUCUGCACCAACCUAA
rnacentral:miRNA from 1 species